rnacentral:rRNA from 1 species
UACAGAGGUCCCGAGCGUUGUUCGGAUUCAUUGGGCGUAAAGGGUGCGUAGGCGGCGGGGUAAGUCUGAUGUGAAAUCCUGGGGCUCAACCCUGGAACUGCAUUGGAUACUACCUUGCUAGAGUACUGGAGAGGAAACUGGAAUUUACGGUGUAGCAGUGAAAUGCGUAGAGAUCGUAAGGAAGACCAGUGGCGAAGGCGAGUUUCUGGACAGUUACUGACGCUGAGGCACGAAAGGCCCAGGGGGAGCAAAACGGGG